rnacentral:rRNA from 1 species
AAAGGCGAUCAUACCGCAUAGAAAGCACCGAUUCUCUUCCGAUCACUGAAGUUAAACUAGGUCGGGCAGGGUUAGUACUUGCAUGGGUGACCGGUGUUGCUGACUUCUUGGGGGUGCGCGAU